GUUUUAGAUAUCACACAGUUUGUAUAUGGUAAGGUAUCUUAAACAGUUUAUUACAUGUCACAUAUUCAUAUUUUUCAGUUUCCAUAUUAGAUGCCAUAGCAAAUCAAAGAUCAUAUAAUAAAAUAAGUCAAAAAACCCAAAUAUGGAAAAAGAAAGAGCUGAAGAAAUGGUGAUUUGAGCACCUAUGCUUUCUCAUAGGUGUUUUUGGAGGUUUCCAUAUUAGAUGCCAUAGCAGGGCUUGCCACGAGCAAAUUGGAGGCGAGUAGAUGACUACUCACGCAAAUAUAGACUUGCGCGAGUGAGGCAAUUACAUGUAUUUACUCACGCAGAAUGAUGUGCGUGAGUAGCCAUUUAAAUUCCAUGUGCCUAAUUGCAAUGCUCUUGUCACUUCGGUGGAAGCGGACGUUGAAUAAAGCUAUUUCACACACAAAGGCAAUGCAUACUCUUUUAUUUCCUUGGCAGUAAUAUUAUCUGUAAAUCGUCUUCCCAUGACAAUAACGUUGAAAGGGAAACUGGGUUUCCCUUUGCCAUCGUUGGCGUGCUGAGGGGAUUCGGGUAAAGCUUAGAAAGGUAAAAGAACCGGCAAAACAAUUUCAAUCCCAUCAAUUUGUAGAAAAGAUGCGGGAUCGAAAGAAUUGCUAUUAAUAGAAACGACAACAUCCGCUCAAUGUUUGAUUAUCCAGACACGGCAAAGGACAUCCGCUUAAAAACCGCCUGGCAGUACGCGUCUCAAAGUAUUUUUAGUAACAACAGUUGGAACUGGAAAGACACGCCGCGUGCGCAAUAGUGCAUCAAUAUGAAGGCAUACAAAUUGUUUACGGUUUUUUAUAUUACGAUAUUCAAUUAUUUCUGAUUAAAUUAUUUUUUAUAUUUGCGCGAGUACUUAAUCACUCACGUAAAUUUGGUUUUACGCGAGCGUAGCGUGCGCGCGAGUAAUUUCUCGCGUCUCGUGGCAAGCCCUGCAUAGCAAAUCAAAGAUCAUAUAAUAAAAUAAGUCAAAAAACCCAAAUAUGGGAAAAGAAAGAGCUGAAGAAAUGGUGAUUUGAGCACCUAUGAUUUCUCAUAGGUGUUUUUGGAGGUUAACUACAUCAGAAAGAUCAAGACAGUUGGAAAUGGCUAUUCAUAUUAUGGAAACUUUUUCUCACAGAGCUUGAUAAUCAGGUAAAAUGCUGGAAGAUUAUUUGAUGUAUGAUAACAACAAGAGAUCCCAAGCAUCAAUUUAUUUUAUAAUUCUGGAAAAGAAUGCAUUUGACCCAAUUUUUGAAUAUUUUUUUUUGUUUUUACUGUUAAAUAUUCAUCCCAAACACAAUUAGAUUUUAAUUCUCUACAGAAAUUUAUGUAUAAUAUAGAAUGUAAAGUGACAUAUAAAUCACUUAGAAUUUGGUCGGAAAUGAUAAAGUAUUUAAUAGGCAUAGUCUAGAAACCAAAUGUAGAUCAAAUAUACCCAGAAUUACAAAAAACCUUGACCUACAUUAAGGUGACUUUCUCUUGUUUAUGAAAUGAAAUAGGGUUUAAUAUCCUACUUUUCUGUGUUAUUAUGGUGAUUCUGCCCUACAACCUACUCUUAUAUCAAAUAUUUUAACUGUCAUGGGUUGUUUAAAGGGAACCCAG